CGUGGAUUAGGCAUGCAAGUCGAGCGGGAUUCACAUUUUUCAAUUCUUCGGAAAAGAAGUUUGUGAUGAGAGCGGCGAACGGGUGAGUAAUAUAUGGGUAAUUUGCCUUGAAGUUUGGGAUAGCCAUUCGAAAGAGUGGGUAAUACCGAAUGUGCUCGCUCCGCACCUGCGGAGUUAUGUAAAGGUGGGGAUUCUUCGGAACCUGCCGCUUCUAGAUAAGCCCAUAUCCUAUCAGCUAGUUGGUAAGGUAACUGCUUACCAAGGCUUACGGGUAGCCGACCUGAGAGGGUGACCGGCCACACUGGGACUGAGACACUGCCCAGACUCCUACGGGAGGCUGCAGUCGAGAAUCAUUGACAAUGCACGAAAGUGUGAUCAUGCGACGCCGCGUGGAGGACGAAGGCCUUCGGGUUGUAAACUCCUGUCCUGAGGGAGUAAGUGCAGAGAGGUGAAUACCCUUUCUGUUUGAUAGUACCUCAGAAGAAAGUCACGGCUAACUCUGUGCCAGCAGCCGCGGUAAUACAGAGGUGGCAAGUGUUGUUCGGAUUUACUGGGCGUAAAGGGUCCGCAGGCGGUCCUGUGUGUCGGAUGUGAAAGCUCACGGCUUAACCGUGGAAUUGCAUUCGAAACUACAGGACUAGAGUACAGGAGGGGAGUAGGGAAUUC
rnacentral:rRNA from 1 species